rnacentral:misc_RNA from 1 species
UAUAUUCAAAAAAAAAAAAAAAAGCUACAAGGAAGUAUGCAUGAAUGAUGAAUGAAAAGAAAUGUAAGUUCCUUCUCGUGUGUGAAAUUAUAUUUCUUUCUAUUCUAACACCACAGCAGAAACAUACAAAAUUUUGUCAAGUCACCAUAGACCUCUGGCAAUUGCAUGCUUGUCCAAAAUUGGCAUAAAAGUUGCAGAUGAGCUUCUUCUUGUGGGACAAUUGGGAAGAUAUGAAGGUGGUAGGACUUCGUCCUUCACCUUGAAUUUGAAGGGUUUUAGGCCUUCAAAUUCUGUUCACUUUGCAACUCUCAUGCGAGCGGGUGAAGAUUAUACCUGCAGCAAUAACGGGUUGACAUCUCUCAUCCUCUAUUGCAGCAAUCUACGCCACAGUUCUUCAACUGCUAGUCAUCUAAGCAUUGUCUCAUGUAAAGCCGCAAAAAAAUAUCUACAUGGCUCUCCAAAAGCUACCUAUGGUGGAUGCAUUAACUUCAAACAAUACUGUUGCUGGAUCGAGCUACCCUCUGAGCUUCUCCAAGGUCCUUCAGAAACCUUCCCAGUUGAAAGUGAUUCCCAACAAAAGGGUAGUCCACAUCUCUCAUCCGCCCUUUAAUUAUACUUUCCAUGGUUUGGAACAGGAGAGGCUGGUGCUGGGUGUACACAUUUUCAACCCCCUUUAAGCCACGGGCCAUAUUACGAGCAAUAUUCAAAAGAUCCCAGUUCCUGUAAAGAUCCCCAGUUCGCCUAUCCACACCUGCUUGCUUCAGGAGAAACUGGACAAGCUGCAUGACUUAUGCAAAAGCUGCAUAAAUUAUGUAGCUUCACGGAAAACCGCAUAAAUUAUGUAGUGUCGCACUCUGCUCAUGCAACUUCACGGAGGAGACAAUCACCUUAGCCGAAACUUGCAUAAACUACUGCAUAACUUAUGCAGAUCCAUCCCUUGCUUAUGCAGCUUCACGAAGAGAGCCCAUAAACCUGCCGAAAACUGCAUAAG